GGUCUCUAGAGCCAGACAGGAUACGGGCUCUAGAGCCAGACAGUGUGCCGGCUCUAUAAUGUGUCAUCUUGAGCAGUUAUAUACUGUCUCUAUGCUUCAGGUUCCUCAUCUUCAAAAGGGGGAUGGGAUAGUAAUCAUUUCAUAAAGGCUGAGAGUUCAGUAGCACAGGCACAGUGCUUAGAACAGUGUCUGACCACAUGUUAAGCUCUUUAAAAUGUUAAUUAUAGCCAAAGAAUGUACCACAUUUUAUAGGUUUAGGCCUUUGUCUUCAGAUUUAGGAGUAGCAUAUUUAAAUUUCUGAGUUUGAAUUAUGCAGCCUGUGGCUUCCCUCCUUUGGGACAAAUGAUGGAAGUUGUUGUUGAGUAAUUUGUAAUUUGUGUGCUCAAUUUAUAAAAGGAAAAUUGCUGAGACAUCACAUAAUUCCAACUGCAGAAGUUUAGAAACUGUCAUCAGCUUUUUUCCUGUCACUAUUACUUUUUUGACUCUAUCAAUUUGAAGCUAUUCAGUUUUCAUUAUACUAGAUCUGUAACCUUUCAGUUUCUGCAGAGAAUUUUUAAUAUUUUGUAAAAUCAGGAACAAGGUAAAACAGGAUAGUUGAAGACACAUUGUUGAAAAGAAAAAGAUGAACAGAUGUAGCAGGAACCUGAGAUGAGAUCAUUAUGAGAGUAGAAAACAAUCUAACUGAGUUUCUUGGCAAAUGAGUGAGGAGUGUAUUGAGUUGUAGUCUUGUUUGGGUGUAAUAGCAAACAGAUGAUUUUUUUGCCUAGCACUGUCAUUAAGAUACUGAGUGGGUUGAUGAUCCAAUGGGAGUUUAUUUUAUCUGUUAAACAAUUCAAGGGAGAACUUUAAAUCUUAAUUCAGUGAAGGCAUCUUUUAGGGAAUUGAGAUAAUCAGAAAUUUGCUGUCUCACUAUAUUACUAAUACAGGGGGAAAGAAUUUAGUCUUAGAAAGUUUAGAAAGGCCAGGAGCAGUAGCUCAUGCCUGUAAUCUCAGCUUUUUGGGAGGCCAAGGCAGGAUGAUCCCUUGAAGCCAGGAGUUCUAGAUCAGCCUGAGCAACAAAGUGAGACCCCGUCUCCACAAAAAAAAAAAAAAAAAAAAAAAAAAAUUUUGGUUGGGCAUGAUGGUGCACACCUUUAGUCCCAGCUACUUGGGAGGCUGACUGGAUAGGAUCACUUAGCCUAGGAGUUUGGGGCUGCAGUGAGCUAUAAGCCAUGAGCAUACUACUGCACUCCAGCCUGGGAGACAGACUGAGAGCCUCUCUAUUUUUUUCUUUUUUAAAAAAGAAAAUUUAGAAUAGUUAAUAGGCUCCAAAACAAAUACUUUUGCUAUUUCUGCCAAAGUACCUAAAUAACAGAAAAGAGUAAAUACAUUUAGGAUAUACUGGUGGUAGGAUAGUGUCAAAUUUUUUUAAUGUUAUGGUGUAACUUAGAAAUUUACAUGAACUUUGCAUUUUUCACCAUAGUCUAGCCAUACUUAGUAUUGGAAUAAAGUUUUUAAAAUUAUUGCCAUGAUGUGGAAUUGCUGCAGGGUGAUAUGCUAUGCUCAUGCUGUUGUUUGUAGUACCUUUCUAAUUAGUAUUACCACUCCUCUCUCUUUUCUUAAGAAAUAAGACUAACUUGUUCUUCUCAAAUGUCUCAAAAGAGCCCUUGAUUGAGAUUCUAGAACUCUUUCAUAUAAUGAGAGGCUGUUUUUGAUUAAGAAAGAUUUAAGAGUAGGUAUUACCACUUUGUCCAGACUCCAGGGCAUGAAUUUUAAAAGAACUGAAAAUAACUGGUUCUUAAAUGGUUGGAUGAGGCAACUGAAAUUGGAGUUCUAAUAUUAAUAUAAUCCAUUUGAAUAUUGUGGAAUGUCUGCCAAAUACAAAGUCUUUAGUACAAGGGUGUCCAAUCUUUUGGCUUCCCUGGGCCAUAUUGGAAGAGGAAGAAUUGUCUUGGGCCACACAUAAAAUACACUAACGAUAAAUGAGGAGCUUAAAAAAACAAAAAAAGAAUCACAAAUGUCUGAUAAUGUUUAAGAAAGUUUACAAAUUUGUGUUGGGCCACAUUCAAAGCUGUCUGGGCUGCAUGUGGUCCACAGGCUGUGAGUUGGGCAAACUUGCUUUAGUAUUUGCUUGCUUUUUCUAUUUAUCAUUUGGUUGGGCUAUUAUUUAUCUGUACUUGUUUAGUUAAACCAUCGUCUUUUAUGCUGUGGUGGUUGGAGAACCAGUUAGGAAUUUUUAUCUAGCUUUAGAUGAUUGGCUUCCUUAAAGUUGAUAUUUAUGGGAUCCCUCAGGGCAAGCUUGCUGGUUCACAAUUAAAGCUAUAUUGGUAGUUAAAGAUUACUUGUGUAGGAUAACUUGUGUAGAAUAACUAUACUGCAGAGAUAAUUCUGAACAGACAUAGUUGAUGGCAAAACUUGGAUCAGUUGGAAGUUUGUGGCUGAUUUCUUUUGUAAGAAACAUUCUCUGGACAACAGUAUCCGCAAAUCUGUUUGCUAGGUGAAUCUAAUAUCACUAGGGCUGUAAUUUUUUUUUUAAUUAAAAACAUUUUUUUUAGAGACAGGGUCUCACUCUGUUGCCCAGGCUGGAGUAUAGUGGCACAGACAUAGCUCAUUAUAACCUCAAACUUACGGGCUCAAGCGAUCCUCCUGCCUCGGUCUCCUGAGUAGCUGGGACAUAGGCAUGUACCAUCGUGUCUGGCUAACUUUUUUUUUUUAUUUUUAGUAGAGACAAGGUCUCACUACGUGGUCCAGGUUGGUCUUAAACUCCUGGGCUCAAGUGAUUCUCCUACCUCAGCCUCCCAUUCCUGGGAAUACAAGCAUGAGCCACCACGCCUGGCCUAGGGCUCUGUAGUAUUUUUAAUUGGUAUUUACUUUGUUAAAAAAUGUAAAUCAUGUCAUAUUCAGUAAAGUGCACAAAUCUGCAGCUCAAUGAAUGUUUACAUAUGUAUUUAUUUAAGACAAUAUUCCACUAGCUGUGUAUUUAAAAGCAAGCAAAUUCAUUGGAUUAAAAAAGUAUUUGCUUAAAAAAUUUUUUUUCUUAUAAAUAUAUGUUCACAUAGAAAAUUGAGAUAAGAAAAAAUAAGUCACUUGUAAUUCCACCAUCAAGAACUCUAAACAUUUUGGUGUAUAAGCAUUCAUUCAUUUACUAUUAUUUUCUGAAUAUCUAAUAUGUGCCAGAAAUUUGAGAUGCUGAGGAUACAGCAAUGAUUAGAACAGUCAAAAUCCUUGCCUUUGAGGAGAUUAUACUUUACUUGGGGGAAAAGGACAAUAUAUAAGAAAGUAUAUUGUGUGUCAGAUGGUGAUAAGUACCAUGGGGGAGAAUAAAAGAAAUAAAGGGAAGAGGGAGUCCUGGAAGGGACUGCAAUUUUUACAUAGAGUGACCAAGAAUGGCUCUACUUGAGAAGGUAACAUUUGAGCCAAGACCUGGAGGAGACAAAAGAACAUGCUGGGCAGACCUGAAGGAAAAGAGCACUCCAGGCAAAGGCCUUGAUGGGGGCAGUGCCUGGCAUGUUUGAGAAACAUCAGGAAGGCCACUGUGGCUGGAACAAAAGAGGGCAAGGGACAAAUGAAGUUAAGACAGGGAGGAGGGGAUUGUGUCCUCUAGUUGCUCUCCCUCCUGGCUGCACAUGAGAAUCACCUUAGAGGCUCUUGAAAACCACUGAUGCUGAGCUCCCCACCCAGGCCACGGAAGCUGAUUUCUAAUGUGCAGCCAGGGUUGAGAAACACUGGCACAAGGCCUUUAGGCCAUUUUUUUCUUUCUUUUUUUUUUUUUUUUUUUUUUCUUUGAGAUGGAGUUUUGCUCUUAUUCCCCAGACUGGGGUGCAAAUGGCAUGAUCUCGGCUCACUGCAACCUCUGCCUCCCAGGUUCAAGAGAUUCUCCUGCCUCAGCUUCCUGAGUAGCUGGGAUUAUAGGUACAUGCCACCAUGCCCGGCUAAUUUUUUGUAUUUUUAGUAGAGACGGGGUUUCACCAUGUUGGUCAGGCUGUCUUGAACUCCUGACCUCAGGUGAUCCGCCUGCCUCGGCCUCCCAAAGUGCUGGGAUAGCAUAGGCAUGAGCCACCGCUCCUGGCCUCCUUUAGGCCAUUUUAAGGACUUUGUAUUUUACUGUGAGUGAGAUGGGAAGCCAUUGGGGAGUUCUGAGGAAAGAUCUACCUUAUGUUUUAUUAUUUUAAAAUUAUAUAUUAUUGAAUGUUCCAGAUAUACAGAAAAGGACUCACCAUCCAACCCACUUUAACAGCCAUCUGCAUUUUGUCGUGCUUGCUUUAUCCUGCCUCCCCACCCCACUUUUUUUUUCCUAGAGUAUUUCAAUGCUAGGUUGAGUUUUUAGAAGGAUCAUUCUGGUGUCUGUGUUGAGAGAAGGAGUGGCAGAGCAAGGGCUGAAGUAAGUGUAUCCUCCAUGUAUUUUUUUCCUUAGGCUUUGUAGACAUGUUUUUAUACAGUAUCCACUUAUUUAUAAACUGUUUUCUUUAUUAUAUAGGACAUUUUAUGUCACUGGAUAUGCUACAACUUUGUUUUCUCAUGGCUAUAUAGUGGCUUUUGAUAUGCAUUGCUAAGGUGUUUUUCAGAAAGACUUUACUAAUUUAUACUCCCACCAGCUGCUUUGGAAAGUGUCAGGUUUCCUUAAGUUCUCACUAACAUUGAAUUUAAUGACUAACAUUGAAUUUAGUCAUUAAAAAAUUUCUAUGUUGACAGGUAAAAAAAGACAACUCAUGGUUUUAAUUUUAGUUCUUUGAUGUCCACUAGGUUUAUUUCUAUUUUCAUUUGCAUUAGAAACUAGGCUUAUAUCAUUUGCUAGCUGUGUGACUUUAAGUCACUCAGGAGUGCUGUUUUCAUACUAUAAGAUGGGUGUUGUGUAUCUGCUUCACAGAAUUUUCAUUAAGGUUAAAUAGAAGCAUUUUUUAUGCCCAGGUCUUUAAAUCUUUUGGCCAUGAUCUGCAGGGGGAAGAAAAUGCAUCUUACAUUGUGACAAGCAUAUAUAAAUACGUGGCUGAAAGUUUCUUGGAACAAGAUAUAUGUCCUCACCAUGUAUGAUGCACUUCUGAUAUUGUACAUUUUCAUUCACUUUUAAAAAUACCCCUUGUUGACCAGUAGAUUGAUCAUGACUCCCUGGAUUGUGACCUAGGGUUUGAAAAACACUGUAGUAAACUUGUCUUGUUAAGAUGCCCGUUUAUCUAUAGGAUUCCCUCUCUCAGGUAGCUCAGAAGUCAGUCUCCCUCUACCUCUAAUAAAAUUCACUUUCAGGAAAGCUAAAUAGGGAAAAGGCCUCCCACUUAGAUUAUUGUAUUCCUGUAUUAUAUUUUUGGUCAGUGAAAAAUGUUAAUUGCUUUUCACAGUCAGAAAAUGUAUUUGGGUUUCUAUGAUGCCAUGGUGACUGGGUUGUAUUAACACUACUUUUAUGAAAUAGAGCUAAUGCAUCUAAGCACAAACACCACAUCACUACAGGGAUUAUAUUUGCAAAACCCAAAAUUGAGACAUUAUCUGACAAAAGAGUUUUGUCUAUAGUUUUUGUUACGUGAAACGCUGACAAAAUUUGAAAGUAAUGUGGGGCGAGGUAGCUUGUGUCCAAUGUCCCAGCGGGAGGCUGAGGUGAGAGGAUCCCUUGAGCCCAGGAGUUCAAGUUAGGCCUGGGCAACAUAACCCCAUCUCUUAAAAAUAAAAAAAAAAGGCAAAUUAUAAGUCACAUUUAAUUAUACUUAAUAUAGCCCCUUUUCAACAGAUAAAAAUAAAAUAAUAUGAAACCUGGAUAAUCUUGGGAAAUUGAGACUGUAUGACUACCAUACAUAAAAUAACAGAUGUGCUAUUCAUUGGUAGGCUUAUAGCUAGAUGACUCGAGGACCAUGUAGAAAAGACUUAGCUGUAAUUAGUACCUGUGACUAGACAAAACUUGAUCAAAUGAAAGUUAGAGUCACUUCCAAGUCUGAGGGAUGUUGGAAAGAAAAAUGCAUAGAGAAAGAGAGUGGGAAUUUACUGCUUGAAAAACACUCAGGAGUUUAACUUAUUUGGCAAUAGAAUUGUGUUAUUUUUGACGUCUAGUUUAACAUUAAAUAUGUUUUGUGUAAAUUGUUUUUUGACGCUGAGCCAGGAAAACAUUUUAAGCAGCUCUAAGUUAAAAGUUUGACUAACAUGCAUUUACUUACUCCUCCAUUACCUCCACCAGCUCACCCUUUCACAAUGGAGUAAUUUAGAGGAGUAUCAGAAACACUUUGGUAUGGAAAAAUAGAACCUAAAUUUUAUACCAAAGGACCAUAAUUUACCUUUAUGUGGUUAGAAUUGGAUAUAUGAGAUGUCGUUUGAGUACUGAAUUUUAGAUUCUGUCUUUUUCACUAUUGGAGCUAAAAUAAGGUUUUAAACAAGCUCAGAAAUGAGUAUAGCAAUUUGUUGCGCUCAGAUGGCCCAGAAAUACAUGAAUAGCUGCUUAAGCUCUCUAGUGAUCAGGCAUAUGCAAAUUGAAACUACAGUGAAAUACCAUUUCAUGUCCAAAAUUGGCACAAAUUAAAGAUGUUACGUGGACAUUACCAAAUGUUAGGAGAGUGUAGUAUAAAACUAAUGAGUGUAAAUUGGUACAGGUGCUGUGACCUGUACCAAUACCCUAUGACUAGGAAUUCUGCUUCUAGUGUAUCUCUUGUGUGCGUGCACAAGAAAACAUACAGGAACAUUGUUUGUAAUGCUAUUUUGUAACAGUGCAAAAAUGAGAACUACUUAUAUGUCUGUCGAUAAGGAAAUAGCUACAGAAAAUAUUGUCUAGUCCAACGUUCUCCACUAGAAAUAUGAUGUGAACAACAUAUGUUAUUUGAAAUUUAGUUUUAAGGUUCUAAAAAGGAAGUCAAAAUCAAUUUUUAUAUAUUUUGACACAGUUUAUCCAAAAUGCUAUCUUUUUAAAAGUGAUUAAUGUAAAAGUCAUGGAGAUACAUUACAUUUUUUAAAAAAAUACUAAGUCUUUGAAAUCCAUUAUGUAUUUUGCAUUUAGAGCACAUCUCAAUUUGAAUGUUAAAUGUUUAUUGGAAAUACUUGAUCUGAAUUUAAAUUUCAUAAAAUUUCUGUUGGAAAAAGUAGAUUCACAUACCCAGGUUGUUCCAUAUAUAUUUAAAAGCUUUUCAGACACUGAACUGAGUAUCAGAUAAAGUUUAAAUUAAUUCACUUUCUCAGUUGCACCAGCUGAAUUUCACAUGCGUAGUGGUCAGGUGGCUAGUGGCUACCAUACUGGAUAGUGUAAUUCUAAUCAUAACAUGUAUUGUUAUGUGGCAGUUAAAUGACCUAGGCUGGGCAUGGUGGCUCAUACCUUUAAUCGCAGCACUUUAGGAGGCCGAAAAGUGAGAGGAUCGCA